rnacentral:rRNA from 1 species
UACGUAGGGUGCAAGCGUUAAUCGGAAUUACUGGGCGUAAAGCGUGCGCAGGCGGUUUUGUAAGUCUGUCGUGAAAUCCCCGGGCUCAACCUGGGAAUGGCGAUGGAGACUGCAAGGCUAGAGUUUGGCAGAGGGGGGUAGAAUUCCACGUGUAGCAGUGAAAUGCGUAGAUAUGUGGAGGAACACCGAUGGCGAAGGCAGCCCCCUGGGUCAAAACUGACGCUCAUGACACGAAAGCGUGGGGAGCAACAGG